AAAGAAGAAGUAGAGAUGUCAAUUUUAAAUUUGAAAUAACCGUCAGUUAAAAAGUUUCUUGAUGUAAUUAACAUUGUUUGCAUACUUAAAAAUAAGAAUUAUAUACUGUUGUUUCGACUUACAAGUUGGGAUUUCAAGAUCAAAAAUUGAUGAUGUCAGAAAGCUUUGACUACUUCAAUGCACCUCAGUUUUUUGAUUUCACUAAAACAGCAAUGGAUCAAGAAAAUGAGCAUGGUGAUGACUAUUUUGAUUUGGAUCAUGAGAAUUCAGUAGACCCUCUAGGAGAUGGAAACCACUUGAAGGAUACAUCAGUAACAAGUGAGAUAUUG